UACGAAGGGGGCUAGCGUUGCUCGGAAUCACUGGGCGUAAAGCGCACGUAGGCGGCUUUUUAAGUCAGGGGUGAAAUCCUGGAGCUCAACUCCAGAACUGCCUUUGAUACUGAGAGGCUUGAGUCCGGGAGAGGUGAGUGGAACUGCGAGUGUAGAGGUGAAAUUCGUAGAUAUUCGGAAGAACACCAGUGGCGAAGGCGGCUCACUGGCCCGGUACUGACGCUGAGAUACGAAAGCGUGGGGAGCAAACAGG
rnacentral:rRNA from 1 species